rnacentral:rRNA from 1 species
GAUAACCUACCUAUAAGACUGGGAUAACUUCGGGAAACCGGAGCUAAUACCGGAUAAUAUUUUGAACCGCAUGGUUCAAAAGUGAAAGACGGUCUUGCUGUCACUUAUAGAUGGAUCCGCGCUGCAUUAGCUAGUUGGUAAGGUAACGGCUUACCAAGGCAACGAUGCAUAGCCCCCCUGAGAGGGUGAUCGGCCACACUGGAACUGAGACACGGUCCAGACUCCUACGGGAGGCAGCAGUAGGGAAUCUUCCGCAAUGGGCGAAAGCCUGACCCCGCAACGCCGCGUGAGUGAUGAAGGUCUUCGGAUCGUAAAACUCUGUUAUUAGGGAAGAACAUAUGUGUAAGUAACUGUGCACAUCUUGACGGUACCUAAUCAGAAAGCCACGGCUAACUACGUGCCAGCAGCCGCGGUAAUACGUAGGUGGCAAGCGUUAUCCGGAAUUAUUGGGCGUAAAGCGCGCGUAGGCGGCCCUUUAAGUCUGAUGUGAAAGCCCACGGCUCAACCGUGGAGGGUCAUUGGAAACUGGAAAACUUGAGUGCAGAAGAGGAAAGUGGAAUUCCAUGUGUAGCGGUGAAAUGCGCAGAGAUAUGGAGGAACACCAGUGGCGAAGGCGACUUUCUGGUCUGUAACUGACGCUGAUGUGCGAAAGCGUGGGGAUCAAACAGGAUUAGAUACCCUGGUAGUCCACGCCGUAAACGAUGAGUGCUAAGUGUUCCCGGGUUUCCGCCCCUUAGUGCUGCAGCUAACGCAUUAAGCACUCCGCCUGGGGAGUACGACCGCAAGGUUGAAACUCAAAGGAAUUGACGGGGACCCGCACAAGCGGUGGAGCAUGUGGUUUAAUUCGAAGCAACGCGAAGAACCUUACCAAAUCUUGACAUCCUUUGACAACUCUAGAGAUAGAGCCUUCCCCUUCGGGGGACAAAGUGACAGGUGGUGCAUGGUUGUCGUCAGCUCGUGUCGUGAGAUGUUGGGUUAAGUCCCGCAACGAGCGCAACCCUUAAGCUUAGUUGCCAUCAUUAAGUUGGGCACUCUAAGUUGACUGCCGGUGACAAACCGGAGGAAGGUGGGGAUGACGUCAAAUCAUCAUGCCCCUUAUGAUUUGGGCUACACACGUGCUACAAUGGACAAUACAAAGGGCAGCGAAACCGUGAGGUCAAGCAAAUCCCAUAAAGUUGUUCUCAGUUCGGAUUGUAGUCUGCAACUCGACUACAUGAAGCUGGAAUCGCUAGUAAUCGUAGAUCAGCAUGCUACGGUGAAUACGUUCCCGGGUCUUGUACACACCGCCCGUCACACCACGAGAGUUUGUA